AUGCAGAAUGAGACCACUGAGUUCGUGGACCUGUACAUGCUGCAGAAAUGUUCCACCAGCAACCGUAUCAUUGAUGCCAAGGACCACGCAUUCAUCCAGAUGAAUGUGGCGGAGGCUGACAAGGUUACAAGCAAGUUUAAUGGCCAGUUUAAAACCUAUGCUAUCUGCGGGGCCAUUCGCAAGAUGGGCAAGUGUAAUGACUCCAUUCUCCAAUUGACCACAGCCAAUGGCAUUGUCUCAAAGAACUUUUGACUGGAGAGACCAUAGAUGUGAAACAUUUGUCAUAAAUAAACAGUGACAAACCUCAAAAAAAAAAAA